GGACUUUGGCUGAUUAUGCGUUGAAUUUAUGCGAUCGCAUAAUCACGUUUUUCUGGAGGGACUGUUUUAUACGCCCCAAAA